UACAGAGGGUGCGAGCGUUAAUCGGAUUUACUGGGCGUAAAGCGUGCGUAGGCGGCUUUUUAAGUCGGAUGUGAAAUCCCCGAGCUUAACUUGGGAAUUGCAUUCGAUACUGGUUGGCUAGAGUAUGGGAGAGGAUGGUAGAAUUCCAGGUGUAGCGGUGAAAUGCGUAGAGAUCUGGAGGAAUACCGAUGGCGAAGGCAGCCAUCUGGCCUAAUACUGACACUGAGGUGCGAAAGCAUGGGGAGCAAACAGG
rnacentral:rRNA from 1 species